rnacentral:rRNA from 1 species
GACGAACGCUGGCGGCGUGCUUAACACAUGCAAGUCGAGCGGUAAGGCCCUUUCGGGGGUACACGAGCGGCGAACGGGUGAGUAACACGUGGGUGACCUGCCCUCAGCUCUGGGAUAAGCCUGGGAAACCGGGUCUAAUACUGGAUAUGACUCCAUGACGCAUGUUGUGGGGUGGAAAGCCUUGUGCGGCUGAGGAUGGGCCCGCGGCCUAUCAGCUUGUUGGUGGGGUGAGGCCUACCAAGGCGACGACGGGUAGCCGGCCUGAGAGGGCGACCGGCCACACUGGGACUGAGACACGGCCCAGACUCCUACGGGAGGCAGCAGUGGGGAAUCUUGCGCAAUGGGCGAAAGCCUGACGCAGCGACGCCGCGUGAGGGAUGACGGCCUGGUGUAA